AGAGAGCUAGGAUGAGGCAUUCUUGGAGCCACCUCGUUAGAAAAAUGAAGUCUGCUGCCUUGCUUUCACAAUGGCUGGAGUUGAACAUUUGAACUGACCAGAUGAUUUUAUGGAAAGAGCAUGAGACAAUGGAAGUCAAAUCUCUGUUCUAUACCUUGCUUUGCCCCUUUCUGGCUACAGGAGCCUCAGAAGUCACUCCGAGAUGCAGCAAAGUGCAGGGGAUCAAACCAUUGAUUGCUGAAUUUGAGUCUUACUUUCGUCAUUUAUUAUUAGCUGUGUGACAGCUGGUAAAUUAACUUAAUCUCUCUGUCUCUGUGUUUUCAUUUGUAAAUGGUAUUAAUAUUAGUGCCUCUCCCCCAGGGUUCUUAAGAAGAUUAAAACAGUUGAUAUUUGUAAAGUACUUAGAAUAUUG
rnacentral:lncRNA from 10 species